rfam:Phaeodactylum tricornutum CCAP 1055/1 chromosome 6, whole genome shotgun sequence.
AAACCGGAUUUUCUAAAAUCCACCCAUCUUUCAAAGAAAAGCCCAAU